UAGAGAGUGACUAAAGUUCACAGAUACUCGAGUAUUCGUGGUGGAUUCAAAUAGAUUGGUGGACGGACGGACUGACGAACAGUCACCAUCAUCACAGGGGCUACUAAAAUCGAGGACCGUCUUAGAUGACAGUGUCAUAAGGUUCGAAGUCGAAACGGUGCUAAAACAAAUGUGAUUUUGCAAGCAUAGAACUGAGGGACGCGUUUCAUUAACUGCAUAUCUUUACGUUUAUUCGCGGUCAGCAUUUCGUGAUGUCAAAGUGGAAAAGUGAAGGAAAACAAGAGAAUGUCAAUAUGAAAAAAUCGAUCAAGAUGUAAAGCACAGUGGUUGCUCGUAGCAAAACUUGCUUUGUGCAUGGAAAAUAUAUCCAUUUAACUGAUAAAACAUUCCAAACUAUCUACCAAACGGCAAACCAAGACAAAAAACGGCCGUAAUUAAGCAACGUUUGGAAAGCAGCAAGCAGAAAAUACACCAACUCAGCCAAUCACCUCACCAUACAAGCGUCGUCGGCGUUCCAAAAUAAAUAUUAAAAACCAAAAAAAAAAAAAAAAUUAUAAUAAUACUCUUAAUAUUCGAAUGAAACAAAAUAUACAGCAAGCAACAACAACUGCAGCAAGAACAAAAUAAAAACAAACAAAACAAUACUUUUCGUUUUGGACUAAAAGUUAAAGGGGGGGCCGUGUUUUUGACGCUGCCAGCGCUGGCGCUAACGUCUUCCCAUUCUAAACACACAAACGUCGUACUCCCUCCCGCAUGAACUCGGUAAAAAAUGGCAAGAGAUCGAUUGCCAGAGUUAAUACAGCGGGCGAAAAGUUGCAACAACAGCUCAUCAAAUGGUGUCACUGAACAGCAGCGCAAAAGUCUGGAAGCUUUAACAAUGCAGCAAAAUACGCCAGUGGAUGACAUCUUGAAUCCGGUAAGUGAAUGAGAAGCAAGAGA
rnacentral:sRNA from 14 species